rnacentral:rRNA from 1 species
CCUACGGGUGGCUGCAGUGGGGAAUUUUGCGCAAUGCUCGUAAGAGUGACGCAGCGACGCCGCGUGAAUGACGAAGGCCUUCGGGUCGUAAAGUUCUUUCGACAGGGAAGAAAAUGCCUAUAAGUAACUGUGUAUGUCUUGACGGUACCUGUAUAAGCAGCCCCGGCUAACUGCGUGCCAGCAGCGGCGGUCAGACGGAGGGGGCGAGCGUUGUUCGGGGGCACUGGGAGGAAAGAGCACGUAGGCGGUGUUGUAAGUCAUUAGUCAAAGACUAGAGCUCAACUUUAGUAAGGCUAGUGAUACUAUACUACUAGAGUAUAAGAGAGGAUUGCAGAAUUCCUGGUGUAGCGGUGAAAUGCGUAGAUAUCAGGAGGAAUACCGUUAGCGAAGGCGGCAAUCUGGCUGGAAACUGACGCUGAGGUGCGAAAGCGUGGGUAGCAAACAGGAUUAGAUACCCCGGUAGUC